UACGGAGGGUGCAAGCGUUAUCCGGAUUCACUGGGUUUAAAGGGUGCGUAGGCGGGCAGGUAAGUCCGUGGUGAAAUCUCUGAGCUUAACUUGGGAACUGCCGUUGAUACUAUCAGUCUUGAAUACCGUGGAGGUGAGCGGAAUAUGUCAUGUAGCGGUGAAAUGCUUAGAUAUGACAUAGAACACCAAUUGCGAAGGCAGCUCGCUACACGAAUAUUGACUCUGAGGCACGAAAGCGUGGGGAUCAAACAGG
rnacentral:rRNA from 1 species